AUUGAACGCUGGCGGCAGGCCUAACACAUGCAAGUCGAACGAGUGGCGGACGGGUGAGUAAUGUCUGGGAAACUGCCUGAUGGAGGGGGAUAAAUACUGGAAACGGUAGCUAAUACCGCAUACCAUCGGAUGUGCCCAGAUUGGAUGAGCGAGUAGGUGGGGUAAAGGCUCACCUAGGCGACGAUCCCUAACUGGUCGGAGAGGAUGACUAGCCACACGGGAAAUGAGACACGGUCCAGAUGCCUACGGGAGGCAGCAGGGGGGAAUAUUGCACAAGGGGCGCAAGCCUGAUGCAGCCAUGCGGCGUGUAGGAAGCAGGCCUUCGGGUUGUAAAGUACUUUCAGCGGGGAGGCGUUACCCGCAGAAGAAGCAACGGCUAACUCCGUGCCAGCAGCCGCGGUAAUAC
rnacentral:rRNA from 1 species